AACGAACGCUGGCGGCAGGCUUAACAUAUGCAAGUCGAGCGAGACCUUCGGGUCUAGCGGCGGACGGGUGAGUAACGCGUGGGAACGUGCCCUUCUCUACGGAAUAGCCCCGGGAAACUGGGAGUAAUACCGUAUACGCCCUUUGGGGGAAAGAUUUAUCGGAGAAGGAUCGGCCCGCGUUGGAUUAGGUAGUUGGUGGGGUAAUGGCCCACCAAGCCGACGAUCCAUAGCUGGUUUGAGAGGAUGAUCAGCCACACUGGGACUGAGACACGGCCCAGACUCCUACGGGAGGCAGCAGUGGGGAAUCUUAGACAAUGGGGGCAACCCUGAUCUAGCCAUGCCGCGUGAGUGAUGAAGGCCUUAGGGUUGUAAAGCUCUUUCAGCUGGGAAGAUAAUGACGGUACCAGCAGAAGAAGCCCCGGCUAACUCCGUG
rnacentral:rRNA from 1 species